GAUGAAGAACGCAGCGAAAUGCGAUAAGUAGUGUGAAUUGCAGAAUUCAGUGAAUCAUCGAAUCUUUGAACGCACAUUGCGCCCCCUGGUAUUCCGGGGGGCACACCUGUUCGAGCGCCAUUUCUACCCUAGAGCCCUGCUCUGUGAUGGGCCCCGUCCUCGCGGACAGGCCCGAAACCCGUGGGCGCCGUCGUCCGGCCCUGAGCGUAGCAAGAGAAAUCCCUCGCUCGGAGUGUCUGUCGGUGGCCGCCCCGAAACCUAUUUUUACAAGGUUGGCCUCGGAUCAGGUGGGGAUACCCGCUGAACUUAAGCAUAUCAAUAAGCGGAGGA
rnacentral:misc_RNA from 1 species